UACGUAGGUGGCAAGCGUUGUCCGGAAUUAUUGGGCGUAAAGAGCUCGUAGGCGGUGUGUCGCGUCGGCCGUGAAAACCUGCAGCUUAACUGUGGGCUUGCGGUCGAUACGGGCAUCACUGGAGUUCGGCAGGGGAGACUGGAAUUCCUGGUGUAGCGGUGAAAUGCGCAGAUAUCAGGAGGAACACCGGUGGCGAAGGCGGGUCUCUGGGCCAAUACUGACGCUGAGGAGCGAAAGCGUGGGGAGCGAACAGG
rnacentral:rRNA from 1 species